AAACAUAUUAACAGAGAAGUCUAUAGUCAAAGUAUCUCACAUUUUAACAUGAAAGUAUUUCAAAUAAUUUUUGCAAUUUCUUGCAUUAUUGCCUUUGCCAUAGCAUCACCUGGAAAUAAUGUUAUUAAAGGACAUAAUAAUAAAAAUAAUAAACAGAAUAACGUUGAUGCUAGUGCCAGUUUGUACGGUUAAAUUGAUGUGAUAAUUGGAGAGAAUCGGAAUCGGAAUAUUGACUAAAAAAAACCAAAAAAUGUUAAAAUAAAGUUGUAGCAAUAGCACAAAA